CUAAAAAAUACCCGUUAAGAUGCUAGCAUAUUCCUUUAUGUUAGGGCAGUAAAGAGGUUUUGGUUUUCCUCCUGGGCGGGAAGAUCUAUCUCAGGGUAUGGCGACGCGCGUGGCUCCUCGAUUCAAUCCGCAAGACGAGAAUGCGGCUCCGAUGAGCGGGAAAUCCGUGAUUCCUCCAGCUACGAUCCAGCGGCCGAAGCUGUCGAACAUCACAAACAAGCAGCAGCUCCCAUCCGCGACGCCCAAGCCUAAGAUCGCUCCUCUGGGCAACAAGAUCGAUGCUGGGAGAACGCCUCUCAGGAAUAUUUCCAAUGUGCGAGCAAAAAUUGGAGGGGCGGCGGCGGCUCCUCAGGAGAGCAAGGCGGACGAGUGGGCGAAACAGGGAAUCGAGAGGGUGCAUUUCACCGGGGAUGAUAUGGAAGCUCUCCGGCAAAAGCUUGAACACCAAGAAAUGGAGAAACGAGUCAAGGCUGUGCUCUCCUUCCGGACAGAAAUCUUUCCGGUGUGGCCUCGGCCUGCUCCAAAAGCUGAUGGGCCUUUCGACUGCGAUGGAAAACUCAAGCUGGAUACGUACGAAGAAGUUUCCGACGUAGUUUUUGCCGAUAUAGAAGAAAAGGAUGUCGAAAACUCAGAGACCGGAUUCGAGGCAAUAUUUGUGGUUCGAUGACAUCACUAUGCAUAUGCUAAUGUUUCCGGUGUAGGGUCUUUGAGUUCUUGCGCAUGUCGUCAUACAAGGUGACUGCAGCAGUUUAGAUUCUUUUUAUUUGAGCCGGUAAAGUGAGAUUCUAGGCGGGCCUUAUGUGUCUAUGGUUCUUUCCGUGAUUAAGCGAAUGCUCUUCUCUUUCCGUC